CAUAGCGGAGGAAAAGAAACCAACAGGGAUUGCCCCAGUAACGGCGAGUGAAGCGGCAACAGCUCAAAUUUGAAAUCUGGCCUCGGCCCGAGUUGUAAUUUGUAGAGGAAGCUUCUGGUGCGGCGCCGUCCGAGUCUCCUGGAACGGAGCGCCAUAGAGGGUGAGAGCCCCGUAUGGACGGAUGCCAAACCUGUGUGAAGCUCCUUCGACGAGUCGAGUAGUUUGGGAAUGCUGCUCUAAAUGGGAGGUAAAUUCCUUCUAAAGCUAAAUAUUGGCCAGAGACCGAUAGCGCACAAGUAGAGUGAUCGAAAGAUGAAAAGCACUUUGAAAAGAGGGUUAAACAGCACGUGAAAUUGUUGAAAGGGAAGCGCUUGUGACCAGACUUGAGCGCGGCGGAUCAUCCGGUGUUCUCACCGGUGCACUCCGCCGCGCCCAGGCCAGCAUCGGUUUCCGCGGGGGGACAAAGGUCCCGGGAACGUAGCUCCUCCGGGAGUGUUAUAGCCCGGGGCGUAAUGCCCUCGUGGGGACCGAGGACCGCGCAUCUGCAAGGAUGCUGGCGUAAUGGUCAUCAGCGACCCGUCUUGAAACACGGACCAAGGAGUCAAGGUUUUGCGCGAGUGUUUGGGUGUUAAACCCGCACGCGAAUGAAAGUGAACGUAGGUGAGAGCUUCGGCGCAUCAUCGACCGAUCCUGAUGUAUUCGGAUGGAUUUGAGUAGGAGCGUUAAGCCUUGGACCCGAAAGAUGGUGAACUAUGCUUGGAUAGGGUGAAGCCAGAGGAAACUCUGGUGGAGGCUCGCAGCGGUUCUGACGUGCAAAUCGAUCGUCAAAUC
rnacentral:rRNA from 1 species